rnacentral:rRNA from 1 species
CCUACGGGUGGCAGCAGUAGGGAAUCUUCCACAAUGGGCGAAAGCCUGAUGGAGCAACGCCGCGUGGGUGAAGAAGGUCUUCGGAUCGUAAAACCCUUUUUUUAGAGAAGAAAGUGCUUGAGAGUAACUGUUCACGUUUCGACGGUAUCUAACCAGAAAGCCACGGCUAACUACGUGCCAGCAGCCGCGGUAAUACGUAGGUGGCAAGCGUUAUCCGGAUUUGUUGGGCGUAAAGGGAACGCAGGCGGUCUUUUAAGUCUGAUGUGAAAGUCUUCGGCUUAACCGGAGUAGUGCAUUGGAAACUGGGAGACUUGAGUGCAGAAGAGGAGAGUGGAAUUCGAUGUGUAGCGGUGAAAUGCGUAGAUAUAUGGAAGAACACCAGUUGCGAAAGCGGCUCUCUGGUCUGUAACUGACGCUGAGGUUCGAAAGCGUGGGUAGCAAACAGGAUUAGAUACCCGUGUAGUC